CUACCUGGGCGUACACGCACCCACCCAUUGUUACCAGUACUCCUGGCCGUGGAGGAUUAGUCGUGAUUAACGAGGGAUUAGCGGUGGAAGUGUCAGUGACAGCCUGGUGUGGGCGAACUCCUUUGUUAGUUGUAAACCACAGUCAAGUACCAACUCUUUUGUGUUUCACCUGAUCUGCAGUGACGCUUUGGGUAUGGGGAGCAGGAAAAUACCUGACAGCAGUUUAUCAGCCUCGACUGCCGGCAAUACAGACUACGGACCAAAGAAAGCCAGGCUCAAUACGAAUGGUGCCUAUUGUUCAUCAGAUCCCGCAAACAAUUGGUACCGUGUUUCACUUGAUGAGACAGUCACCAUUACGGGCCUCAUCAC